CUUACCCUUUGAGCCAGACGGGAAAGUCUAAGGACUUUUCACAGCGCAAGAAAGGGAAAGGGAUCUAUUUCCGUUCCGGUGACAUUUCCGGAAGAAUUAACGUCGCUAUCAAUGCAGUUAGUAAAAUUUGAAGGGUGUAACGGAUAG
rnacentral:ncRNA from 1 species